UACGUAGGGGGCAAGCGUUGUCCGGAUUUAUUGGGCGUAAAGAGCGUGUAGGCGGCCAGUUAGGUCCGUUGUGAAAACUCGAGGCUCAACCUCGAGACGCCGAUGGAAACCAACUGGCUAGAGUCCGGAAGAGGAGAGUGGAAUUCCCGGUGUAGCGGUGAAAUGCGCAGAUAUCGGGAAGAACACCGGUGGCUAAGGCGGCUCUCUAGUACGGUACUGACGCUGAGACGCGAAAGCGUGGGGAGCGAACAGG
rnacentral:rRNA from 1 species